rnacentral:rRNA from 1 species
AGCCUGCGGUUUAAUCGGACUCAACGCCGGGAAACUCACCAGAUAAGACAGCUGAAUGAUAGCCGGGCUGAAGACUCUGCUUGACUAGCUGAGAGGAGGUGCAUGGCCGUCGUCAGUUCGUACUGUGAAGCAUCCUGUUAAGUCAGGCAACGAGCGAGACCCACGCCAACAGUUGUCAGCAUGUCCUCCGGGAUGGUGGGGACACUGUUGGGACCGCCUCUGCUAAAGAGGAGGAAGGAAUGGGCAACGGUAGGUCAGCAUGCCCCGAAUUAUCCGGGCUACACGCGGGCUACAAUGGUCAGGACAAUGGGCAUCAACACCGAAAGGUGAAGGCAAUCUCUUAAACCUGUCCUUAGUUCGGAUCGUGGGCUGCAACUCGCCCACAUGAAGCUGGAAUCUGUAGUAAUCGCGUCUCAAAAUGGCGCGGUGAAUAUGUCCCUGCUCCUU